UUGGAGUUGGUCCAGAGGUAAAGCAUGCUAUUAAGGGCCCUUUUAUCAAGUUUUAAUGUCGUGCAUAUGCUAUAUAUCUGGUUUUAAUGCCACAGAAACAAAAACGUGUUGUAGUAUGCAUACGCUGUAUGAAGACUAUGAACCGAUAAGUGUCAGAAAACAAAUAUAUGAAAUGCUAUCAAUUCAUUUAUUGACGUAACGUCGUAAUUUUUCUUGACUAGGGCAUACAGUGAAUUUACCAAAGUGGCAGUAACUAGAAAGCAAGGAGAAGAGAAGUGUGGCUGUGACUGUUUUGAUUUGAGGCCUAUAAAUAAUUGGACUUGGGAUGUACACUGCAAGGGCUGCAAAGGGAGGUUUCCUGCUUCAGUCACGCUUUCCAGUUGUCACUUUUGUUCAGUAAUCAUUGCCUUUUGAUCAGCUCACUUGAUGCGAGGGAUUAUGUAUGUGUAAGGGAAAACACGAGGUAUAAGAGUAGGUUGUGCUCUUAUGGUAGCCCCUAGUAACUGUUUUUGUAAAAGCCUUUAUUUUAUAUUCAUGAAACAAUCUCAAGAGCUCGAAGAAAACAAAAACAAGACUUUAUACUAGGGGUGUGUGAGUACAGAAUGUUAGAUUUCGAAUCAAAUCAAGAAAAAAAAAGCCGUAUAUUCAAUCGAAUAUCAGAAAAUUUAACACCAAGUUUCAUGCUUACAAAAUUUGUGCAACCUAUAAACACGUGCUGCCCACUUAGGAGUCUACUCACAUUAUGUAACAAGACUGUUGCGAGCUAUCAGUAGCUGAAGUACUUAAGAUUUGAGGUGUAUGGUGUGGUCUACUUAAAGGGAACACAAAAUUGGUAUGUCAGCACUGAUAACUCGGUUUGUGUAAGGUCUGGAAAAUAUUUUUUUUAUCAAUAGAAUGUGUUGAAUAGAACGAAGUGCUUUGUUUUUCCUUUGAAGCUGAAGAAAUAGAGAUUUUAUGUUGUACUGAAUACCAAUGAGGUUUUAAGUUUAAUAGUGGGCCAUACUGGGCUUAAUGGCAAUUUUCUAUUGUUUAGAAAGUUUUGCUUUCCACUUAAAACAGAAGGGUCUAUCCAUCCUUAUGGCAGGUGGUUUCUUUGCGUUAUCGUCAGCCCGUUAAGGCCAAUCUGCGCUAUUGAGAAAAGCGGGGGCCGCGCGUCACGUGACUUGGCACCGCUCCAUGCGGUGAUUAGCACAGUGCAGGUCUACCGCGGUCAGCGCCUUUUCACCUUCAGGAUUGGCAUUGAUUGCCGCCUGCCGUGGGUUCUCAAAUCGGAAGGCCCACAGCAAGGUCGCGCGAUUCUCCCUCUUCUCCCUUUCCGUUUGCGUCUACCUUCUGUCCGGCCGUGUAAAUGUGUCUGCAGCUGGGUGGUAGGCGCACCAGCCGCAUGACACUUUCGAGCAUCGAAAGCUAGUCUUGUGAUGGGUAGCUCGAAGCUGCGAAAAGAGGCCAAUGUGCGCCUACAAACGGCGUUUCAGCAAAGAUGGCGGCCGGGAGCAAUUAACGGUCAUCCCGUAAACUCGCUUUCGUUGGCGAGGCGGUUUGUCGGCUUUCUGUGCGUCGUGCGACCGCUGCGAACAGAUGUGCGUUGAUUCGGUACGAAACCGUAACUUCAGUCCCCGACACGCUGACACCCGACGACACUGCUCGAAUUAGGCCCAACGGGCUAGACAUGUGGCCAGCGGCUGGACCGUGACAAAAAUUCGUGCUGGCCGAUGUAACGGGCCGCAAGCUGUCGUGGACAGCUUUUCGCUAAUAUGUUCAUGUGGGUGGCUCAUCAGUGUUUGGUCGCGAAAUCAUGCGUACGGGUUAGAUGGCCAUUGAGUUAAGUGGUGUUCAGGUCCAAGGGUGACUAAUGGGUGACCAACCAGCAACGACAUCGAGCAUGCGUGGCAAGUUUGUCUGGGUGCUUAAGCUCGCAUGCGCGCAGAUAGCUCCAAUCUGCACUAAAUAUUUGCGUGCGUGAACACGGACCACGUGCCUCCCAGUGGUUAAUCGGCCCGAUCUUCACACAUGCUUUCGUGCUUUAUAUGCACGCUGCUUGUGCUCCCUCUGUGCGCGUCGUGUUUCGAUCGGCCCCGUUGUCCUGGACGAGCGUAGUAACGAUAGAGAUCGCACACCGGGGGAACGCUGCUCGUGUCAAGGCAACGAACGCGGCUGAGUCUUUCAUCGAAUGUACCGAAUAAUUUGUAAAACCGCGUGGCGAAUAGUAGGUACUCUAUUCACGAAUCGUAUUCGGACGUUCACUAUUUGAUUCGAAAUCGAGUAUUCACACACCCCUACUUUAUACCAUUGAUUAGUGUCCUCAGUAAUUUUAAGAGUCGUUGCAGGCCCAUAUGGUGGCACUGAACGUUACAGCAUUGCAUUAUUUUUGAACUAUUAUUGUUAAAGCUACUGUUGAAAACUAAGCCUGUCCACUGUUGUGUUAACAAAAAUCAGAAUACCAAAGCUCAGCGUGUGUUGCAGGGGCUUUUUUAAAAAGGGACACUUAAAAUGAAACCUUUUACUGGAGGUACAGUAGUAGGUUGCUGUAUUGGAAGAAUAUUUGCUUUGGUGGCUAUACCCGACUUAUUCGGGGAAAAAAGCAACCCAUUGUUUGAAUUUUAUCCCUAAGUGGAUGGCAUUGCGCUACACCUUGUGUUCUUUAUAUAGUGGCAGGUUUGAAUUGUUUUUGUUUGAGAUCUACAGAUGUUUCUAGGCGAAUUGCUGACAUAUUCCUACCUCAUAAACACACCAGGCAUUAUACUCUCCAGUGUCACUGAAAGUCACUUUUGAAGAUUCAGAGGUGCCUUCUGCACCUGUCAUUUGCUUCUACAUCACUUUUUGUUACCAAUAGCUCCACCUGCCAGCAGCUUCAGACGGUAAUCUACCACUCAAACAUAAUCUAACGUUCUCCUGUUAAAUUUCUCUGAACUUGCAUGCUUCUACAAAAAAGUGAAAGUUUUAAGGAAUGAGACGUGGUUUUCUGACUUCUACUGCAGCUAUGGGGUCACGAAGUCUUCAGGGCUCUGGAAUUCUGUCUCAUUCAAGCUCUGGUGCUGCCAGCGACAUUGUUGGAGCGGAAAUGAGUGAAGCUGGACAACCUGACCUCGCCUUUACGAGCCCAUUAGCAUCUCUAUCAGUGCAGGACAUGCAUUGGUGUUCACAUAAGCAAUUUCACUGUGCUUUGUGUUCAUACACUGCGACUACCAAUUACCAGUUAACACGGCAUAUGCGGAGGCACACGGGCGAGAAGCCAUUUAAGUGUUUUUUGUGCUCAUCCGCAUUUGCACAGGGUAGCGACUACAGGCGUCACAUGUCGGUGCACACUGGCGUGAAGCACUUCAAGUGUGACCUUUGCUCUUACUCCUCAGUCCAGAAGUGUGACCUGGAAGUUCACAAAAGAAUCCACACAGGCGAAAAGCCAUACCAGUGCAAUCAAUGCAGCUAUGCUUCCGCACGGAGUGCUGACAUGAGGCGCCAUGUACUUCGGCAUCACAAAUGAAACCAUUUUUGUUUUGUUUUUUAGGAGAAGGAAUGUUUCCUCUAUUGCAACGGCCACGGCACAGAACAGACAACCACACUGAUGUGCCAUAUUUAGCACAAAGUCAUGUGCCAUUGUUGCUACGAACAUUUUACUUAAUACAAAUGGCAUUAGCUACAAAUGGCAUAAAGUAUAUGCUGAAGUAUUUUGGAUAAUCUAGAAUGACGACAGUGGAUACAGAGUGCAGUAAACAAUAAACAAAAACCACAGAGGAUAAAAUAGCGAAAGGCAGCCACACCUCGAGGCACCUCUCCGUAAGCAAAUUCUUCGCGGCUUGUAAUAGAUGCAAUCUCAACAGUCCUGAAGCUGAUUGUGUGGUGAAAUGUGAGGUGUGGAGUAAAGGAAGAAAUAUUGGUUCGCGAAAACAUUGACUCUAGUAUGAAUUUGUUAACUAGUCAUGAAAAUGAAUAAAUUGGUUUGGUAUGGAGUUCUGAAACUUCUGUGAUAAAAACUGUGAUACAGCAACUGGAGUAGCAGUAGUUUGCUCUCAUGAAGAGAAACUGAAUAGGGGAUGUUCUUUGUUUUUUCAUUUACACUACGGUGGCAUUCUGAAACUUUUGUGAUAAAACCUGUGAUAAAGCAACUAGAGUAACAGCAGCAGUCUGCUCUCAUGAAAUGAAGCUAAAUGAGGAAUGCUUUUUUGAGUUACACUAUGAAUAAUAAUUUGUGAAGUGGGCUACUUUAUUAUGCAGCGCUUCAAGCUUGCUAUUUAUCUCUGAUGUCAGUUCCACAUUUGUGAGAAAAAAGUCGACCAAAGGAAUUGGCAGAUGGAAAGUUUCAUCUAAUAAAUUCAUAUGCUUGAA